CGGCAGCCGGCGGGGUAGCGAGGUGGAGCAUUGUGGGAAGUCCCAAGCCCGUACCUCUGGGACUGAACGGCGGCGGGUGGGCUGCGGUCAGCCUCUGCAGGCCUGGGCAGGCCUCCUGAGAGUCUAGGGCGUAAGAGUUUUGGGGGUUCCCAAAGUGGGCUGCGGACCCCCUGCCUGAGGCUUUGGUUUGAGCCCUGGAUCCGGACUUGUGUUUCCCCGGAAGGAUGGCGUCUCAGUCUUUCCUGAAGUUGGUGGGGUUUGGAUGUUAUUAUUAUUAUUAUCAGCAGUAUUAUUAUUAUUGUUGUUAUUAUUAUCGUUUUGAGGAUACACCGUGUAUAAGAAUUGGUGGUCCUGCGCAGGGUGCCAUGCAGAAUGCCAUGAGUUACAAGUUGGAGGACGGAGGGCCUAGAGAUGCUUGAGGGACGUCCUUAACCUACGUGAAAUGUUGGAGGUUGAUGAGAUAAAGGCUCAAGCCUCUAAACAGGCACUUUACUAGUUUCCCUCUCUUUGUGGAAUUCAGUUGCUGAAUGGAGAACACAGACCAUAGCUGUUGAGGUGAAAAAUAUGGCUUUGAUAUCUUCAUGGAAAACUGCAUUAUUUCAGUCCUGAAUCUGGUUCCGUUCCCUUAUUGACUCAUUACUAUAUUAAAAAUGUUUAUUUAGCAGUGAUUGUAAAAUGAAAGUAAUUAACAUGUACAUGUGUUUUGGGGGGAGACUAAGGGGAAACAGGUGUUCAGCCUAGAAAAACAUUUCUCAUUGGAUUUCCUGUGAAGUCAGUGUGUCUUGGGUUUAACUUUGAAACAAAUUAAAAAAUUUUUAAAUUAAAAAAA